UACGGGGGGGGCAAGCGUUGUUCGGAAUUACUGGGCGUAAAGGGCUCGUAGGUGGCCAACUAAGUCAGACGUGAAAUCCCUCGGCUUAACCGGGGAACUGCGUCUGAUACUGGAUGGCUUGAGUUCGGGAGAGGGAUGCGGAAUUCCAGGUGUAGCGGUGAAAUGCGUAGAUAUCUGGAGGAACACCGGUGGCGAAGGCGGCAUCCUGGACCGACACUGACACUGAGACGCGAAAGCGAGGGGAGCGAACAGG
rnacentral:rRNA from 1 species